rnacentral:miRNA from 4 species
UAUCACAGCCAUUUUUGACGAGU